rfam:Schistosoma mansoni strain Puerto Rico chromosome W, complete genome
ACCCACCUGACGAGUUCUGAAUAGGACGAAACGCGUGUCCUGGAU